AAUAUUGCACAAUGGGCGCAAGCCUGAUGCAGCCAUGCCGCGUUGUAUGAAGUAAGGCCUUCGGGUUGUAAAGUACUUUCAGCAGUGAGGAAGGUGGAUAUGUUAAUAGCAUAUUCAUUUGACGUUUAGCUGCAGAAGAAGCACCGGCUAACUCCGUGCCAGCAGCCGCGGUAAUACGGAGGGUGCGAGCGUUAAUCGGAAUUACUGGGCGUAAAGCGCAUGCAGGUGGUUUGUUAAGUCAGAUGUGAAAGCCCGGGGCUCAACCUCGGAAUUGCAUUUGAAACUGGCAAACUAGAGUACUGUAGAGGGGGUAGAAUUUCAGGUGUAGCGGUGAAAUGCGUAGAGAUCUGAAGGAAUACCGGUGGCGAAGGCGGCCCCCUGGACAGAUACUGACACUCAGAUGCGAAAGCGUGGGGAGCAAACAGGAUUAGAUACCCUGAGAG
rnacentral:rRNA from 1 species